AACUGGUCGAAUCGUAAGUCACGACUUGGCAGACGACGACCGAACGGUCGUUCGCGGUCGACUCGGAGGACUGCUUUAAGAGAGACUAAGUCGAGCCAGUUAGUUCCACCUGGCAGUGGAAGAUGCGGUCAAAGCAGUCUUGAAUUACCACUAGAAUCUCCGACCACUGUAGCGCACGCUGUUUGUAAAGUUCUCCUUAAUUUUCCUUUGAUACACUUCACUGUUGCCCAGCUUCAAUUUCCCUCUUAGUCAGUGGAUGAGGUGUGAUUAAAAUGAUAAUUUCUGUUUGAAAUUAAUUAAUGUACCAUCGUUAGUAUAAUUAAGUAAGAAGCUAUUACGAAGCUUCUUAGUAUAUAUUACAUUAAUUUGUGAAUGCGCAUAUUUUUAUGGGAAUGAAAAACGACUGGAAGAGGUAACGAAAAAGCUGGCACAAAUAUCAAAAGUUGAUAUAUAAAAAGCAAGUAUGAAAAGCGUAAAAUUUUGGAAACCGCGUGAGAAGAAAGAUUCGAAGACACAACAUGAUGAAACGAGUUCCACGAAAAUAUCCGCUAUACGAAGUCGACGUUAAAUCCGGUGGCAUCAAGUGUGCUUGAUGUCGUCUCGGCUUCAAACUUUCCGACACACGAGUUGAACCCUGGCCUACGCACUGAACUUCCCGCUGCAAGUUUCAGAAACAAGCAUCCAUCUAUCAAGUACUGGCAAAGCUAAAACGGCACAUGUUUCUAAUAAAUUAGAUCAACCCACGCGUCCGAUUGAUUAAUUCCAAUUAAGUAGUUCCGGAUAAAAGCAAUACUGAAGCAAUACAUGUUUUUCAUAAAUAUUGGGUUUAGAAGACUCAGCUCGAAUCAUUUUUGUUUUUUAUUGCAAGAUCAGUAAAAUUCAAAAGUAUAGAAAUUUAGAAAGAUCAAUUCGUUUGUCAUUAUUUAUGAACUUAAUUGACAGAAAACUGAAUUAACGAUUAAAUUUUAAUUCCUAAUUAUUAAAAAUUAAAAGUUAAAUGUUGUUCAAUUGAAUUAAAGAUUUAAUCAAUUUCCUGCAAGCCGUACAAAUGCAGCUUUAUGUUAUUUUUCUAUGUAGGAAUUGCAAGAUUUACAUAAGAACACUAGGUGUAAUACCAUCGAAAUGGAUUAAAUUAAGGAGAUUAUGACGAUAGAGUUAUUAUGUAAUGUGCUCGAGUAUAUGCAUACGUAAUUGAAUUGCAGCGUGUGUUAUUUGACCUAAAAAUGUAACACCUUUGUAAGACAUCAAUGUAAUCAUGUCAAUUUAAAUUAGUAAAUAUGCAAUUCGAACGAAAUUGUAUCGUACAACUAUCAUUUUUAUUACUCUUCAAUUUUAUUUGACAAAUCAUUUCCAGAAAUUUUCUAUACAUCUUUUCUAGAAUAAAAUUGUUUCGUAAUGUUACCCAAGCAACGGUCACAAGAUAAUAACAGCGCGGAGGAAAAUUUUAUCCAGUUUUAUUUAUAGCGAGGUGACAACGAACGCUAAGAGAAGCUGACUCAUUGUUACUCCUGGUAUCGACGAUAGAAACGCGGAUAGGUAUUUAUAAAACGGUCGGCACAGACAGCCAGCCGAUCUCCUAGGAAUAGACCAGUAAACCCAGUUAUGCGAUUUAUUCCGGGCCUGGGUCGUCAGCUAUUCGGAAACUUUCGAUUUUCACCCGGGGCGAAAGGAGCAGAGAGAGAGAACGCUUUUAGCUAGUUAUAUCCUCCCCCUCAUUUAUAA